CGCGGGGUUGAGACGGGGUUACAGCGUCCAGAUGGAGCUUGUUUGUGGAAGGAAGACAUCUGAAGACGCUUCAGCAGAGACACAAUCAACAACACACUGCACGGGUCAGUUUGGAGAGGUACUGGAGGAAAUUAUGACUUUAUAUAUGCAGAAUGAUGAUUAUAAAUACUGCAUUUUGUUUCUGUGAUUCUUUGCAUCGUCUGCACAUUUGAGCCCUUUCCAGCAGGGAUUGUAUGAUGUUGAGCCCAUAAUCAGACUGAAG
ensembl:lncRNA